rnacentral:rRNA from 1 species
AGAGUUUGAUCCUGGCUCAGAUUGAACGCUGGCGGAAUGCUUUACACAUGCAAGUCGAACGGGGCUUGGGGGCUUGCUCCCAAGCUUAGUGGCGAACGGGUGAGUAAUGCGUCGGAACGUACCGAGUAAUGGGGGAUAACCCGGCGAAAGUCGGAUUAAUACCGCAUACGUCCUUAGGGAGAAAGCAGGGGAUCGCAAGACCUUGCGUUAUUCGAGCGGCCGACGUCUGAUUAGCUUGUUGGUGAGGUAAUGGCUCACCAAGGCGACGAUCAGUAGCGGGUCUGAGAGGAUGAUCCGUCACACUGGGACUGAGACACGGCCCAGACUCCUACGGGAGGCAGCAGUGGGGAAUUUUGGACAAUGGGGGAAACCCUGAUCCAGCCAUUCCGCGUGAGUGAAGAAGGCCUUCGGGUUGUAAAGCUCUUUCAGCAGGAACGAAACGGUACGCUCUAACAUAGCGUGCUAAUGACGGUACCUGCAGAAGAAGCACCGGCUAACUACGUGCCAGCAGCCGCGGUAAUACGUAGGGUGCGAGCGUUAAUCGGAAUUACUGGGCGUAAAGCGUGCGCAGGCGGACUGUUAAGCAAGAUGUGAAAUCCCCGGGCUUAACCUGGGAAUGGCAUUUUGAACUGGCAGUCUAGAGUGUGUCAGAGGGGGGUGGAAUUCCACGUGUAGCAGUGAAAUGCGUAGAGAUGUGGAGGAACACCAAUGGCGAAGGCAGCCCCCUGGGAUAACACUGACGCUCAUGUACGAAAGCGUGGGUAGCAAACAGGAUUAGAUACCCUGGUAGUCC